CAACUUUAGAACCCACAUCAGGACCCACAUCAGAACCCACAUCAGAACUCACAUCAGGACCCACAUCAGAACUCACUUUAGAACCCAC